GACGAACGCUGGCGGCGUGCUUAACACAUGCAAGUCGAACGGAAAGGCCCUGCUUGCAGGGUACUCGAGUGGCGAACGGGUGAGUAACACGUGGGUGAUCUGCCCUGCACUUCGGGAUAAGCCUGGGAAACUGGGUCUAAUACCGGAUAGGAGCCAUUUUUAGUGUGAUGGUUGGAAAGUUUUUUCGGUGUAGGAUGAGCUCGCGGCCUAUCAGCUUGUUGGUGGGGUAAUGGCCUAACAAGGCGGCGACGGGUAGCCGGCCUGAGAGGGGGGACGGCCACAAUGGGACUGAGAUACGGCCCAGACUCCUACGGGAGGCAGCAGGGGGGAAUAUUGAACAAUGGGCGCAAGCCUGAUGCAGCGACGCCGCGUGGGGGAUGACGGCCGUCGGGUUGUAAACUCCUUUCGCUAGGGACGAAGCUUUUUGUGACGGUACCUAGAUAAGAAGCACCGGCUAACUACGUG
rnacentral:rRNA from 1 species